GAAAAACUAUGUGAUGAAAUAUAAAGUAUAAAUGUAUAAUGACAUGAUCCAAGUAUCUAGUCCUUCUUCUAACUUAGAUGUUUUAACUUUUUUUUCUUUAUGCAUCAACCAAAUUCAAGGCACGAUUAAUAUCUAAAUAUGUGUUUAUGGGAUUGGAUAAAUGACUUUGUACAAGUUCAAAACACUAGAGUACAUCUUCAAGUAUUACUUAUACCAGUGUACUAUGAACAUAAUUAAAAUGUAACAAACUCUAAAUUUUAAUCGUAAGACACCAUUAAUCAACUAAACUAAGCAUUGAAACCAUUUAAAAGGAGAGAGAAGAAAGAAAUUCAUGUUCUAAGGUUUGGAAGAAAACAUAUUUCUGGACCAAGAUAUGGGUGAGAAAAACUCAAACAACAAUGAAUCACUAACCAUUAAAAUAAAAGUAAUUCACUCAAGAAGAAAGAUGAAUGAUAGUUCAAUAGAAUAAUCAAAAUCUAAGUAAACUAUAAACCAUUUGAAUUGUAGUAAAAUUAGAACAAGAAUUACAAGUUUAACUCAAAAACAAGUGAUCUUCUUCUUCCUUUCCAACUCUCUUCAAGCUAUGACUAUAAAAUAUAUUUUUGAAUUAAGCAAAUUGAUGAUGAAAAAGUAAAGUAGUAGAAAGAGAAAAUAAUUCUUCAAGACUAAGAAUUCUCCAAAAAAAUUCUUAAACUUGGGUUUUAAGCCUUUCAUAUAAUGGGAUUCCCUCAAUAACUUGGAAGAGAGGGAGGGAAAUAACCAAAAUACCCUGAAUGGAAAGCAGUCUUCUAUGUUGACUUGAGGGUUCGCAGCCUUCUUCAACCUCCUAUCUUCAUCUUUGCUUUCUUCAAUCUCGAUCGGUGAGAAGAAAGUUCAACCGGUUCAAAAGGGUUCUAAUGUUCCUCCUUUGUUUUCCAGUUCAAAAGGUGAUGAUUAGUCUUCAACGGUUGAGAAUUUUAGAUUUGAAGUUAUGAUGCAUUCAAUGCGUAGAAAACUAAAGGUUCAAUCGCGUUGUACAAUCCAUCUGAUGCUUUUGCUCCUAUUCUACCGAUUGGAGGGUUGGUCUUCGACUGGUUCAUCAUUGUCGAUAAAUUGCUUAUGCCUAUCCAUUCUAUCGGUAGAUAGACCGAAAAUGUUCCAACUAGUAGACUUGGAAAAAUUCCAUAAACUUUAGCGCAAACCAACUGCCAAUCACUCCCGCUUCAAUUCCUUGCCUCAUUCGACCCCUCCUUUAUGCUCUAUGGACUGCGAAAACAGGUUAAACACACUCGUGUGCAAAAUGAAAAAUAACAGUUAAGAGAAUAAUAAGUAUACGUAAAUCUGGUAAAUGUGCUAAAGGUGUGGGGAAAUUCGGAAAAGUGAGAAAAAGAAAGAAAGAAAAAAGACUCUCUUUCCUCCCUCUUCGAUGCCUCUCCCCAUGAUUUUCCUGAAUCACAACCUCCAGCGAUAUUAUUAUAUGUCAGACCGCUAAAUUGAUAUAAAGUUCUAAUCUUACCACUAAACUAAUUUUUUUCAAAGAUAAUAUCUUGAUAGGGUGAACUAUUGAAAUAUCAGUUGAUAUGGAAAGAAACUAGGAACCCCAGUUGACCUUGUAGUCUCCCUGCUGCACAGAUAAUUCAAUGCAUUCUGGGAGAUAAUUAGAUGAAAUAUAUUAGACAUAUGAUGGACAUGAUUAGAUGAAGAUGAUAUCAGCAGUUUUCUGUUAAAACAGGUGAGGCCUUUACUAGAAAAAUUAUAAGCAAUUUUCCAAUCUCCAGCAUCUUUUAUUUUUGAUUUGCCAGUAGCAGGCUUCCUUGUUGCAUGGCUUUUUUUUUUUUUUUUUUAAAUCGGAAACAUAUAGUUUUGCUAAUGAAACAGGUAAGAAUACACUGCUUUUCCUGUCCAGAAUCAGUCACAUAAAUUGCAGAAUUUGGAUCACUAGCAGACAUUUUUUCUGUCCCUCCCUGCAAAUCCAUAAUGAGGAAAAGGAAAAAGGCAGAAACGGUGAACCCUUGGACCUAACGGAUCACUUGCAAGACAGGAAUACGAAACUGUUUAACAUUUCUACGAUUUGAAACAUUAUUCUAGAAUUUUCAAACCUAUAUGUAGGAUCUAUUGAAGUGGACACAAAGCAAAAAUGGGUAUGAUGCACCCAAUAAAACCAUGUAUGGUCAUACUCACAAUAGAUUCACUUUCUCACUAAACAAACCCUGCAGUUGAAUUGUUUCACGAUAGGGGUGAUUUCCUAAAUACUCUAACUUAACUCCAAGUUUAUUCUGAGUAAGUUUGGAAUAUUGAACAGGGCAGAUACUGAUCUUUAACGUGUUAAAUUGCUUGCCUGAGACAGAAUGGCAACAAAAUCAAAGUGUCAUUAUUGUUACCUAUAGAUAGUCCCUACCACAUCAAUUCUUCAAUCUAUGAAGACUUUUAAUUCAUUUUAUGUUCUUUUCCUAUUUAUCCAUCCGCGGUUUCCAGACUUCUGAUUAGCACUUUAUAGCUGUUCAUAAAAUUUAUCAAUAUA
rnacentral:lncRNA from 1 species